GAGGCAGGGCGUCAGUGAAAAGAUGUGGUGUAUUUUGCAUUGAACGUUUGCAAAAACAAAAAAAGUGGAGAUUUCCCUGUCCUGUCAAAUUGAUUUUAUGGUCUUUUGAUUAUGGUGUUAGACAAGUCUCUGCGUC